UGCCUACAUUAUUAGUUUGACAUCUCCAUAUCCAUGACUUGUGAAACAUAGUUAUCAACUAAUACAUAUACUAGUCUAAUAUUCAUGUCUAUCCUCACAUGAACUCUGACUAGGGAGAACUUUAGAAUAACCAUACAAGUAAAGAGUUUCACAUACAAUUCACAUAAUUGCAGAUCAAUUCAAGUAGCCUUUAAUGAAUAUUCAAUGAACAUAAUAUACAAAUCAUGGAUACAAUCAGAUAUCAUCAUCUCAAUGAUUGCCGCUAGGUCAUACCUCCAACAGUCUCC
rnacentral:lncRNA from 1 species